rnacentral:rRNA from 1 species
AGAGUUUGAUCCUGGCUCAGAACGAACGCUGGCGGCGUGCUUAAGACAUGCAAGUCGAACGGUAAGGCCCCUUCGGGGGUACACGAGUGGCGCACGGGUGAGUAACGCGUGGGUAAUCUACCGUCGGGUCUGGGACAACUCCGGGAAACUGGAGCUAAUACCGGAUAAGACCACGAGGUCUUCGGACUUCGCGGAAAAAGGUGGCCUCUUCUUGAAAGCUAUCGCCUGUUGAUGAGCCCGCGUCCCAUUAGCUUGUUGGUGAGGUAACGGCUCACCAAGGCGACGAUGGGUAGCUGGUCUGAGAGGAUGAUCAGCCACACUGGAACUGAGACACGGUCCAGACUCCUACGGGAGGCAGCAGUCGGGAAUCUUGUGCAAUGGGGGAAACCCUGACACAGCAACGCCGCGUGAGGGAUGAAGGCCCUAGGGUCGUAAACCUCUGUCGGGAGGGAAGAAUGCUCCGGGGGUGAAUAAUCCUCGGAGUUGACGGUACCUCCAAAGGAAGCGCCGGCUAACUCCGUGCCAGCAGCCGCGGUAAUACGGAGGGCGCAAGCGUUGUUCGGAAUCAUUGGGCGUAAAGCGCGUGUAGGCGGCUUGGCAAGUCGGGCGUGAAAGCCCGGGGCUCAACCCCGGAAUGGCGCUCGAAACUGCCUGGCUUGAGUCCCGGAGAGGAGGGCGGAAUUCCCGGUGUAGAGGUGAAAUUCGUAGAUAUCGGGAGGAACACCAGCGGCGAAGGCGGCCCUCUGGACGGUGACUGACGCUGAGACGCGAAAGCGUG